AUCCUAACCCCAGGUGACAUGUUGCCUUUUUUUCCUCCUUGGAGGCUACUUUUUCUCAAAGUUACCCACUUCCCAGGUAAGAAUGCCGGCCUCCUCUUUGUUAGGAUUCAACUUAGCUGUGCAGGCAUCUAAGCAGUGCCUCCUUAGAGUCAGGCUCGUCCAAGAACCGCUCCCACCACCUCCCCACACACACCCACAUCCCCCGAUCCUCCAUCCCAACUACAUUGUAAUACUUCAGAAAUAAAUGUUUAAAGCACAUUUA
ensembl:lncRNA novel transcript